UACGUAGGGGGCAAGCGUUGUCCGGAUUUAUUGGGCGUAAAGAGCGUGUAGGCGGUUCGGUAGGUCCGUUGUGAAAACUCGAGGCUCAACCUCGAGACGCCGAUGGAAACCAUCGAACUAGAGUCCGGAAGAGGAGAGUGGAAUUCCUGGUGUAGCGGUGAAAUGCGCAGAUAUCAGGAAGAACAUCCGUGGCUAAGGCGGCUCUCUAGUACGGUACUGACGCUGAGACGCGAAAGCGUGGGGAGCGAACAGG
rnacentral:rRNA from 1 species